CAGUCGAGCGAAUGGAUUAAGAGCUUGCUCUUAUGAAGUUAGCGGCGGACGGGUGAGUAACACGUGGGUAACCUGCCCAUAAGACUGGGAUAACUCCGGGAAACCGGGGCUAAUACCGGAUAACAUUUUGAACCGCAUGGUUCGAAAUUGAAAGGCGGCUUCGGCUGUCACUUAUGGAUGGACCCGCGUCGCAUUAGCUAGUUGGUGAGGUAACGGCUCACCAAGGCAACGAUGCGUAGCCGACCUGAGAGGGUGAUCGGCCACACUGGGACUGAGACACGGCCCAGACUCCUACGGGAGGCAGCAGUAGGGAAUCUUCCGCAAUGGACGAAAGUCUGACGGAGCAACGCCGCGUGAGUGAUGAAGGCUUUCGGGUCGUAAAACUCUGUUGUUAGGGAAGAACAAGUGCUAGUUGAAUAAGCUGGCACCUUGACGGUACCUAACCAGAAAGCCACGGCUAACUACGUGCCAGCAGCCGCGGUAAUACGUAGGUGGCAAGCGUUAUCCGGAAUUAUUGGGCGUAAAGCGCGCGCAGGUGGUUUCUUAAGUCUGAUGUGAAAGCCCACGGCUCAACCGUGGAGGGUCAUUGGAAACUGGGAG
rnacentral:rRNA from 1 species